rnacentral:rRNA from 1 species
AGGUAAGCUACUAAGAGCGAAUGGUGGAUGCCUUGACUGGUAAAGGCGAUGAAGGACGUACUAGACUGCGAUAAGCUACGGGGAGCUGUCAAGAAGCUUUGAUCCGUAGAUUUCCGAAUGGGGCAACCCAAUGUAUAGAGAUAUACAUUACCUAUAUAGGAGCGAACGAGGGGAAUUGAAACAUCUUAGUACCCUCAGGAAAAGAAAUCAAUAGAGAUUGCGUCAGUAGCGGCGAGCGAAAGCGCAAGAGGGCAAACCCAGUGCUUGCACUGGGGGUUGUAGGACUGCAAUGUGCAAGAGGUAAGUUUAGCAGAACAUUCUGGAAAGUAUAACCAUAGAGGGUGAUAGUCCCGUAUGCGAAAAACAAACCUUAGCUAGCAGUAUCCUGAGUAGGGCGGGACACGAGGAAUCCUGUCUGAAUCCGGGUCGACCACGAUCCAACCCUAAAUACUAAUACCAGAUCGAUAGUGCACAAGUACCGUGAGGGAAAGGUGAAAAGAACUGAGGUGAUCAGAGUGAAAUAGAACCUGAAACCAUUUGCUUACAAUCAUUCAGAGCCCUAUGUAGCAAUACAGGGUGAUGGACUGCCUUUUGCAUAAUGAGCCUGCGAGUUGUGGUGUCUGGCAAGGUUAAGCAAACGCGAAGCCGUAGCGAAAGCGAGUCUGAAUAGGGCGCUUAGUCAGAUGCUGCAGACCCGAAACGAAGUGAUCUAUCCAUGAGCAAGUUGAAGCUAGUGUAAGAACUAGUGGAGGACUGAACCCAUAGGCGUUGAAAAGCCCCGGGAUGACUUGUGGAUAGGGGUGAAAGGCCAAUCAAACUUCGUGAUAGCUGGUUCUCUCCGAAAUAUAUUUAGGUAUAGCGUUGUGUCGUAAUAUAAGGGGGUAGAGCACUGAAUGGGCUAGGGCAUACACCAAUGUACCAAACCCUAUCAAACUCCGAAUACCUUAUAUGUAAUCACAGCAGUCAGGCGGCGAGUGAUAAAAUCCGUCGUCAAGAGGGAAACAACCCAGACUACCAGCUAAGGUCCCUAAAUCUUACUUAAGUGGAAAACGAUGUGAAGUUACUUAAACAACCAGGAGGUUGGCUUAGAAGCAGCCAUCCUUUAAAGAAAGCGUAAUAGCUCACUGGUCUAGUGAUUUUGCGCGGAAAAUAUAACGGGGCUAAAGUAAGUACCGAAGCUGUAGACUUAGUUUACUAAGUGGUAGGAGAGCGUUCUAUUUGCGUCGAAGGUAUACCGGUAAGGAGUGCUGGAGCGAAUAGAAGUGAGCAUGCAGGCAUGAGUAGCGAUAAUUAAUGUGAGAAUCAUUAACGCCGUAAACCCAAGGUUUCCUACGCGAUGCUCGUCAUCGUAGGGUUAGUCGGGUCCUAAGUCGAGUCCGAAAGGGGUAGACGAUGGCAAAUUGGUUAAUAUUCCAAUACCAACAUUAGUGUGCGAUGGAAGGACGCUUAGGGCUAAGGGGGCUAGCGGAUGGAAGUGCUAGUCUAAGGUCGUAGGAGGUUGUACAGGCAAAUCCGUAUAACAAUACUCCGAGAACUGAAAGGCUUUUUGAAGUCUUCGGAUGGAUAGAAGAACCCCUGAUGCCGUCGAGCCAAGAAAAGUUUCUAAGUUUAGCUAAUGUUGCCCGUACCGUAAACCGACACAGGUGGGUGGGAUGAGUAUUCUAAGGCGCGUGGAAGAACUCUCUUUAAGGAACUCUGCAAAAUAGCACCGUAUCUUCGGUAUAAGGUGUGGUUAGCUUUGUAUUAGGAUUUACUCCGAAAGCAAGGAAACUUACAACAAAGAGUCCCUCCCGACUGUUUACCAAAAACACAGCACUCUGCUAACUCGUAAGAGGAUGUAUAGGGUGUGACGCCUGCCCGGUGCUCGAAGGUUAAUUGAUGGGGUUAGCAUUAGCGAAGCUCUUGAUCGAAGCCCGAGUAAACGGCGGCCGUAACUAUAACGGUCCUAAGGUAGCGAAAUUCCUUGUCGGUUAAAUACCGACCUGCAUGAAUGGCGUAACGAGAUGGGAGCUGUCUCAAAGAGGGAUCCAGUGAAAUUGUAGUGGAGGUGAAAAUUCCUCCUACCCGCGGCAAGACGGAAAGACCCCGUGGACCUUUACUACAGCUUGACACUGCUACUUGGAUAAGAAUGUGCAGGAUAGGUGGGAGGCUUUGAGUAUAUGACGCCAGUUGUAUAUGAGCCAUUGUUGAGAUACCACUCUUUCUUAUUUGGGUAGCUAACCAGCUUGAGUUAUCCUCAAGUGGGACAAUGUCUGGUG